GGGUCGGUUCCAGAGCGGUCAAAUGGGGCGGAUUGUAACUCCGCUGGCUACGCCUUCGCAGGUUCGAAUCCUGCCCGGCCCACCA
rnacentral:tRNA from 1 species